UACUUUCCCUUGACUACAUCAUCAGAGACAGAGAGAGUGAGGCCGAAAUGAGUGAAACCGUUAGAGAGAGAGAGAGAGAGAGACGGCGCUGAUGGGAGCGGGCCUUUGGUUGUGUGCAUCGGAAAGUCAGAUCGGAGAGAGAAAGAGCUAGAGGGAGAGAUGAAGAUGGGAGUGGGUGCCGGCCUAUGAUGCUGCUUGUGGAUGUCAGGAUAGGUAACGGUGGUGUGUUUGGGGGAUUCACAGCGGCCAAUAAUCGAGUUCGAUGAUAGUGUUGGUGGUUAAUUUCACGGCGGUGAAGAUGAGUGGUAACUGGUAUAGGUGGUUUGGGUGGGGUAGCAGAGGGGCUGUUGGUGGGUAGGGGCAACGAUUGAUCGUCAGUUGUGGUGUCGUGGGAUUGUCGUGGUUGACCAAAAGGGGGAACCUUCUUUCAAAUCAUCGCAGUCAUCAGAGUUCAAAUAACCACAACGAUGAUGUCUAUUUCUUUGCAACUGGAGUUGAGAAAGUGCAGUUGGUUAACAAUCCUUCUCUUGUGUGUGCUCAUGGCGGUGAUGCUUCCAAGGCCUUCCCUAAUUCAACUGCACUGAGAUUGAUGUUUCCCGUCCUGCUGAUGGGGUUUUGUUUGCUCUUCAUGACAGGUAAAUCUGUUAAAAUGCUUAAAAGAUUCAAAACGAUUAAUAUUUUAUUAAUGUGAAAAUAAGGAGCAAAUAUGAAUUAGUCUGAGGUAUUUGUAGACUUGAUUGUUGAUUCUGCAGGGAUUUGCAGCGAUUACCUGGAACAGUUCAUCUAAGGUUGGAUACCUGAGUGCAAAGGAGUUUCUAUAGCAUGUGUCGUUUGUUUAUAUGCAUGUGUAUGUCAGCCGACACCUGCCGCGAAGCGCGGGGGUAUCUACUAGUUAUAUAUAUAAAAGAUGAAAUGCUUAGCUACAGUAAAAUAAAAAUCUGUCUUUUAAUGAAUGAAAAUUGUAAUGAUUUUAGUAAAAUGAAAAUUUUAUAUGCAUGAAUAGAAAGAGUUGAUGCAUAGUAACUUUGAAAUUUGAAUGAGUUUUUUUUUUUUUUUAAUAAUAAUUCAUUUAUACCUUAGUUU
rnacentral:lncRNA from 1 species